UACGUAGGUGACCAGCGUUGUCCGGAUUUACUGGGCGUAAAGAGCUCGUAGGCGGUUUGUUGCGUCGGCUGUGAAAUCCCGAGGCUCAACCUCGGGUCUGCAGUCGAUACGAGCAAACUAGAGUGUUGCAGGGGAGACUGGAAUUCCUGGUGUAGCGGUGAAAUGCGCAGAUAUCAGGAGGAACACCGGUGGCGAAGGCGGGUCUCUGGGCAACAACUACGCUGAGGAGCGAAAGCGUGGGGAGCGAACAGG
rnacentral:rRNA from 1 species